GACGAACCGUGCGAACGUUAUUCGGAAUCACUGGGCUUAAAGGGCGCGUAGGCGGGCUCGCCAGUCAGGGGUGAAAGCCUCCAGCCCAACUGGAGAAGUGCCUUUGAUACUGCGAGUCUCGAGGGAGGUAGGGGCGUGCGGAACUUCCGGUGGAGCGGUGAAAUGCGUAGAUAUCGGAAGGAACACCGGUGGCGAAAGCGGCGCGCUGGACCUCUUCUGACGCUGAGGCGCGAAAGCCAGGGGAGCAAAGCGGG
rnacentral:rRNA from 1 species